ensembl:lncRNA
GGAGCAUCUAGUAGAUGAAGAGAUGGGAGCAUCUAGUACAUGAAGAGAUGCAGUGAAAGGAGCAUCUAUUUAUUAAAUCCUCCUUCAGAGUCACAAGCAGCUUAAACAUUGUGAUUUCUAUAUAAUACUGUAUCAGAGAUCAGAUUCUGCAGGUUAAACAUUGUGAUUUCUAUAUAAUACUGUAUCUGAGAUCAGAUUCUGCAGGUUAAACAUUGUGAUUUCUAUAUAAUACUGUAUCUGAGUUUAAACAUUGUGAUUUCUAUAUAAUACUGUAUCAGAGAUCAGAUUCUGCAGUUUAAACAUUGUGAUUUCUAUAUAAUACUGUAUCUGAGAUCAGAUUCUGCAGGUUAAACAUUGUGAUUUCUAUAUAAUACUGUAUCUGAGAUCAGAUUCUGCAGGUUAAACAUUGUGAUUUCUAUAUAAUACUGUAUCUGAGAUCAGAUUCUGCAGGUUCCUUGACACGUACCUUUAUCAAAUAACUCUCAACAUUCAGGAGGUGCAGCUUUAUUCAAUUCAUCCAUGCAGCAGCAGUAUUGAUCAACAUCCGUGUUGUCCAGGUAUUUAUC